CUUUGCAGUUCUUAUUGGUGGUUUCCUAAUGACAACCUCUUGUAUUGCUAUGUUAUCCCAACUAUGUUGCCUUUCAUGUGCCUUCUUUUUGUUUUUGUUUGAUCCACGUCUCAUAUGUCUAGGUGAAAGAUCUCUCUCCCUAGCCACAUUUUUGAAGGAGGCAUCCAGUAGUUCUUCCUCUUCCCUUUCUUCAUAAAAAUCUUGACCCGUUUCCAUCCCAAACGCGUCACUAUGAUUGUAUUUGUACAUCACUAAUGCACCUUGAUCAUUCCUCGCAUUAUCAAGAGCUCUCAAUGUAUCCAUAUCAUGCGUAACAAGAGCAAGGAGGAUAUUGGUAAGUGUCAAGUUAAAUUUUGUAGUCAAUGCAAGCGUACUUCUAGUAGUUCUUCCAGGAGCUACUGUAUUGUACAUUUCUUUAGUAUGCAAAGAAAUAUCAGUGCCCUUCAUGUCUGGUGUUAGCUGCUGCCCUGCUGGAAUUGAGGACAUGUUGAUGUACUCAAUACUAUGCUAAAAAUUCGAGACAAUUGCUGCAUUUUGCUUCUGUCCAGUUGGGACAAACGCAUCAGCGUUUGGACUUAAACCUUUCUUGGUUUCUAAAACAGUAGCAGAUUUAGUGGCCUG
rnacentral:lncRNA from 1 species